rnacentral:misc_RNA from 1 species
GGAAGUAAAAGUCGGUAACAAGGUUUCCGUAGGUGAACCUGCGGAAGGAUCAUUACUGAGUGAGGGCCCCUCGGGGUCCAACCUCCCACCCGUGUUUAACGAACCUUGUUGCUUCGGCGGGCCCGCCUCACGGCCGCCGGGGGGCAUCUGCCCCCGGGCCCGCGCCCGCCGAAGCCACCUGUGAACGCUGUCUGAAGUAUGCAGUCUGAGACAAUUAUUAAAUUAAUUAAAACUUUCAACAACGGAUCUCUUGGUUCCG